rnacentral:lncRNA from 1 species
UCUCCUCAUCCAGCCCGGUGGAAAAGAGGGAGCAGACAGGAGGCCUGAGCAGAGAUGUGCCAGCUCAAAUCCCACAGGUACAUCAAAUACCUUUCCGUGGAAAAAGAAAAUCCUUAAGGAUGGGAAAUCCUAUGAUCUGUUCAGCAGCGAAUGCUGAGUACAGCGUCUACCUUGUGCAUCCACAGCAUGCAUGAAACCCUUCCCUGAUGGAACCUAGUGCUGAAAGGCCAGGUGUAUGGUGGGGCCUCAGUUCAAGACUGGGCAAUUAUAUCUUUAUUUUGCUGGCUUGAAUGUAAAUCUCCAUCCUGUCCAACCAGUGCUUCACCCACGUUAGCUUUCCACCACUGCGCUGGACCCCAGCAUGCCUGAACUUAACGUUGAACUGUUAUUUACUAAUCUUCUGGCCUCGCCAGUGACCUUCACCCCUCAUUCUUAGCCCUUCAACGUAUCGGCCAACCUUUCUGUAAAUGGUUAAGAUUCUUAUAAAAACUAAACUUACGGACAG